GAUCAUCGUAGCCACGACGCGCGGCAGC
rnacentral:sRNA from 1 species